rnacentral:rRNA from 1 species
UACAGAGGGUGCAAGCGUUAUCCGGAUUUACUGGGCGUAAAGGGCGCGUAGGCGGCCACCGCAAGUCGGUUGUGAAAUCUCUGGGCUUAACCCAGAAAGGUCAACCGAUACUGCGGGGCUAGAGUGCAGAAGGGGCAACUGGAAUUCUCGGUGUAGCGGUGAAAUGCGUAGAUAUCGAGAGGAACACCUGCGGCGAAGGCGGGUUGCUGGGCUGACACUGACGCUGAAGCGCGAAAGCUAGGGGAGCAAACGGG